GACGAACGCUGGCGGCGCGCCUAACACAUGCAAGUCGAGCGAGCGGCGGACGGGUGAGUAAUGCCUAGGAAUCUGCCUGGUAGUGGGGGAUAACGUCCGGAAACGGGCGCUAAUACCGCAUACUAUCGGAUGAAACCAAACGGGAUUAGCUAGUAGGUGGGGUAAAGGCUCACCUAGGCGACGAUCUCUAGCUGGUCUGAGAGGAUGAUCAGACACACUGGGACGGAGACACGGCCCAGACUCCUACGGGAGGCAGCAGUGGGGAAUAUUGCACAAUGGGCGCAAGCCUGAUGCAGCCAUGCCGCGUGUAUGAAGAAGGCCUUAGGGUUGUAAAGUACGUUCAGCGGGGAGGCGUUACCCGCAGAAGAAGCACCGGCUAACUCCGUGCCAGCAGCCGCGGUAAUAC
rnacentral:rRNA from 1 species